CCGACUGCUAUUUGGGUGAGAAUAAGCCAUGCGAGUUGAAUGGAAUACCUAAAUUUUCCAUAGCAAACUGCUCAGUAACACAUGAUCAACUUACCCUAUAGAGAAAAAUAACCUCGGGAAACUGAGGAUAAUGUUUCAUAGUUGAAAAGGCUUGGAAAAGUUUUUCAAUCAAAAGGAUAAGAAAAAUGGUUCUUCUCCGCUAUAGGAUAGGAUCGUGGUCAAUUAUGGUUGUUGGUGAGGUAAUGGCUCACCAAGCCGAUAAUCGAUAGGGGCCGUGAGAGCGGGAGUCCCGAGAUGGGUACUGAGACAACGACCCAGGCCUUACGAGGCGCAGCAGGCGCGAAACCUCCGCAAUACACGAAAGUGUGACGGGGUUACCCAAAGUGUUCAGUUUUGAACUGUGGUAGGUGAGUAAUGUCCCCUACUAGAAAGGAGAGGGCAAGGCUGGUGCCAGCCGCCGCGGUAAAACCAGCUCUUCAAGUGGUCGGGAUAAUUAUUGGGCUUAAAGUGUCCGUAGCCGGUUUAGUAAGUUCCUGGUAAAAUCGGGUAGCUUAACUAUCUGUAUGCUAGGAAUACUGCUAAACUAGAGGGCGGGAGAGGUCUGAGGUACUACAGGGGUAGGGGUGAAAUCUUAUAAUCCUUGUAGGACCACCAGUGGCGAAGGCGUCAGACUGGAACGUGCCUGACGGUGAGGGACGAAAGCCAGGGGAGCGAACCGGAUUAGAUACCCGGGUAGUCCUGGCCGUAAACGAUGCAUACUAGGUGAUGGCAUGGCCAUGAGCCGUGUCAGUGCCGUAGGGAAACCGUUAAGUAUGCCGCCUGGGAAGUACGGUCGCAAGGCUAAAAC
rnacentral:rRNA from 1 species